UACGUAGGGGGCAAGCGUUGUCCGGAUUUAUUGGGCGUAAAGAGCUCGUAGGCGGCUUGGUAAGUCGGGUGUGAAACCUCCAGGCUCAACCUGGAGACGCCACCCGAUACUGCUAUGGCUAGAGUCCGGUAGGGGAGCGUGGAAUUCCUGGUGUAGCGGUGAAAUGCGCAGAUAUCAGGAGGAACACCAGCGGCGAAGGCGGCGCUCUGGGCCGGAACUGACGCUGAGGAGCGAAAGCGUGGGUAGCAAACAGG
rnacentral:rRNA from 1 species